CGGUUCCUCUCUGCCUUCCCAGGGGUGUCUCCACCUUUCCCCAAGGGUUUCCAAGGGUUUGGGAGCUGAUCUGCAGCCAGAAGCCAGCCUGGACCCGUUGCAAUUAAAGGGGUGAAACAAGUAUAACCCCCCCCAACCCAAAAAAAACCCAAACAACUAAUUGAAACAGUGAAACAAAUAUAACCCGCCCAAAAACCAAAUUAAAAUGCUAAACAAAUAUAACCCCCCAGAAGGCAAAUUAAAAUACUGAAAUAAAUAUAACCCCUCCCCCAAUCCAAAUUAAAACACUGAAACAAAUACGCCUCCCCCCUAAAAAACUAAUUGAAAUAGUGAAACAAAUAUAACCCCCUCAGAAACCAAAUCAAAAUGCUAAACAAAUAUAAUUCCCCAAAAGCCUGAUUAAAAUACUGAAACAAAUAUAGCUCCUCCCAAAGCAAUGCAAUUAAAAUACUGAAACUAGUAUAAACCCUCCCAAAAAACCAAAUUAGUAGACUGAAACAAAUAUAACCCUUCCCAAAAAUCAUCCAAUAAAAAUACUGAAACAAGUAUAAACUCCCCCCCAAAAAGCCAAUCAGUUAAUUUACAGAAACAAAUAUAACCCCCACAACAAGUCCAUUUAAAAUACUGAAACAAAUAUAAACCCUUCCAAAAAGCCCAAUUAAAAUACUGAAACAAGUAUAAACCCUCCUUAAAAAUCCAAUUAAAAUACUGAAACAAAUAUAACCCCCCUCAAAGCAAAUUAAAAUAUUGAAACAAGUGUAACCCCCCCAGAAGCCUAAUUAAAAUGGUGAAACAAGUAUAAGUCCCACAACCCAAUUAAAAUAGUGAAACAAAUACAAACACCUGUUAAAAUACUGGAACAAAUCUACACCCCUAAAAAAAGCCACAUAAAAUUUGUAUUUGUUGUUUCAAGAGGAAGACAAAAGUCUGCAUCACUCAUUAAAAGUCCAAAAGGGAAAGACAAAUUAAUCCUGCCUGACACAGAUUCCAGAUAGAGCCUAAAUAUAAAAAUCUGGGUUUGUGCAGGAGCUCUCCAGAGCCUUUGCAGCGGUGAAGGAGCAGCUGGGUGUCAGUGAAUGCACCAGGGCUGCACACAAGCACAGACAGCAAUGAUGCCCUUUGGUUUUUGUGGUUUUUUUCAUGUUCCCUGUAUUCUCUGCACAUCCAUUUGUAGCUCUGUGGCUGUUGUAUCAGUGGCUGCUUGUCCCUGUGGUUUUCCAUGGCUUUUCCCUAGGCAGAAAGACAAAACAAAUUCCAGAGCUCCAAGUCCUGAGGGCACAGAGCCCCAGUGCUCUCCUGGUUCUUGCUGGGAACCAAAAUUGAGAACAACUCUCAGAGAUAUUUCAUGGACCCAAGAUCCACUCUUAUAUUACCUCCUUACUAAAUGAUCCCGAGUUCCAUUUCCAAGUUGAGAAAAGGCAGAAACAGAGAGUGGCAAUAGCUUUGUUCCGUUUCCUGAUUGAGGAAGGGCAAAAAACAGGUGGAAAUAACUUUUUCCCAUUUCCUGGUUGAGAAAAGGCAGAAACAGAGAGUGGAAAUAACUUAUUCCAUUUCCAGGUUGACAAAAGGCAGAAACAGAGAGUGGCAAUAACUUUGUUCCAUUUCCUGGUUGAGAAAAGGCAAAAAACAGGUGGAAAUAACUUUUUCCCAUUUCCAGGCUGAGGAAAGGCAGGAACACAGGGUGGCAAUGACUUUGUCCCCUCCUGGUUGACAAAAGGCAGGGACACAGGGUGGCAAUAACUUGUUCCAUUUCCAUGUCGAGAAAAGGCAGGAACAGAGGGUGGCAAUGACUUUGUUCCAUUUCCUGGUUGAGAAAAGGCAGAAACAGAGGUGUCAAUAACUUUGUUCCCUUCUGGUUGAGAAAAGGCAGAAACAGUGAGGUGGAAAUAACUUUGUUCCAUUUCCUGGUUGAGGAAAGGCAAAAAACAGGUGGAAAUAACUUUGUUCCGUUUUCUGGUUGAGGAAAGGCAGGAACUGAGGGUGGCAAUAACUUUUUCCCAUUUCCAGGCUGAGGAAAGGCAGGAACACAGGGUGGCAAUGACUUUGUCCCCUCCUGGUUGACAAAAGGCAGGGACACAGGGUGGCAAUAACUUAUUCCAUUUCCAGGUUGACGAAAGGCAGGAACAGAGGGUGGCAAUAACUUGUUCCAUUUCCUGGCUGAGAAAAGGCAGGAACGGAGGGUGGCAAUGACUUUGUCCCCUCCUGUUCCCCCCUGGUUGUGCGAGGGGGUUUUGGGGUGGCUCGGGGAGGUUCUGGCUCCCUCGGGGCCGGACCCUGCGCUGCCCUGGCUGUGCUGUGCC